rnacentral:rRNA from 1 species
GACGAACGCUGGCGGCGUGCCUAAUACAUGCAAGUCGAGCGAAGUUUUUCUGGUGCUUGCACUAGAAAAACUUAGCGGCGAACGGGUGAGUCACACGUAAAGAACCUGCCUCAUAGACUGGGACAACUAUUGGAAACGAUAGCUAAUACCGGAUAACAGUAUUUCUCGCUUGAGAGAUAUUUAAAAGUUGGUUAUGCUAACACUAUGAGAUGGCUUUGCGGUGCAUUAGCUAGUUGGUGGGGUAAAGGCCCACCAAGGCGACGAUGCAUAGCCGACCUGAGAGGGUGAUCGGCCACACUGGGACUGAGACACGGCCCAGACUCCUACGGGAGGCAGCAGUAGGGAAUCUUCCGCAAUGGGCGAAAGCCUGACGGAGCAACGCCGCGUGAGUGAAGAAGGAUUUCGGUUCGUAAAGCUCUGUUGUUAGGGAAGAAUGGAUAUGUAGUAACUAUACAUGUAAGAGACGGUAUCUAACCAGAAAGCCACGGCUAACUACGUG